rfam:Pseudogymnoascus pannorum VKM F-4520 (FW-2644) contig_2828, whole genome shotgun sequence.
GGUUGUAUAGUGUAGUGGUUAGCACGUGGGAUUUUGAUUCGGAUCCAAUUUUCAAAUUGGAUUAAACACUUUGUUUGUGUCAUAAUAAACAAUUUUCCCGAAUCCCCGGUUCGAGCCCGGGUACGACCU